AAUGGGCGAAAGCCUGAUCCAGCAACGCCGCGUGAGGGAUGACGGCCUUCGGGUUGUAAACCUCUUUCAGUAUCGACGAAGCGCCCUGUCGGGUGGUGACGGUAGAUACAGAAGAAGGACCGGCCAACUACGUGCCAGCAGCCGCGGUAAUACGUAGGGUCCGAGCGUUGUCCGGAAUUAUUGGGCGUAAAGGGCUCGUAGGCGGUUUGUCGCGUCGGGAGUGAAAUCUUACAGCUUAACUGUGAACUUGCUUUCGAUACGGGCAGACUUGAGGCAUUCAGGGGAGAACGGAAUUCCUGGUGUAGCGGUGAAAUGCGCAGAUAUCAGGAGGAACACCGGUGGCGAAGGCGGUUCUCUGGGAAUGUUCUGACGCUGAGGAGCGAAAGUGUGGGGAGCGAA
rnacentral:rRNA from 1 species